UACGAAGGGGGCUAGCGUUGCUCGGAAUCACUGGGCGUAAAGCGCACGUAGGCGGAUUGUUAAGUCAGGGGUGAAAUCCUGGAGCUCAACUCCAGAACUGCCUUUGAUACUGGCGAUCUUGAGUCCGGGAGAGGUGAGUGGAACUGCGAGUGUAGAGGUGAAAUUCGUAGAUAUUCGCAAGAACACCAGUGGCGGAAGGCGGCUCACUGGCCCGGUACUGACGC
rnacentral:rRNA from 1 species